rnacentral:rRNA from 1 species
UCGGGAAUUUUGGGCAAUGGGCGAAAGCCUGACCCAGCAACGCCGCGUGAGGGAUGAAGUAUUUCGGUAUGUAAACCUCGAAAGAAUGGGAAGAAUAAAUGACGGUACCAUUUAUAAGCUCCGGCUAACUACGUGCCAGCAGCCACGGUAAUACGUAGGGAGCAAGCGUUGUUCGGAUUUACUGGGCGUAAAGGGCGCGUAGGCGGCGCGGUAAGUCACUUGUGAAAUCUCUGAGCUUAACUCAGAACGGCCAAGUGAUACUGCUGUGCUAGAGUGCGGAAGAGGCAACCGGAAUUCUUGGUGUAGCGGUGAAAUGCGUAGAUAUCAAGAGGAACACCUGAGGCGAAGGCGGGUUGCUGGGCCGACACUGACGCUGAUGCGCGAAAGCCAGGGGAGCAAACG